GCUUUCAUGUUUCAUUUUUAAUGUUUUGCUGAGGAGCAAAAAGGGAAUAGAUACACCAAUAAUGAGGUGGGAUGCGACUCGACCAAGAUUAUGAAGCACCAGGUGUUCUCCUAUCAGUCCAUAUCUAGAAUGAAUAUACUGGGACGCAACACCUUUAAGCGCCUUUGAUGGAUAGCUCCUCAAUGCUGUGCUGCCUGGCUGACCUCCAACAAGGUUCUGCUCCACUCAUCAGAAGUCGUGAUGAAACUUGGUCAUUUUAACCGCUGCUGUCCUACAUCACCUCUGUCUUGUGUAUGCUUAAACGUAGAAAAGUCCUAAAGCAUUGGACCCAGCAGUGUUGGGAUUCUGUAUCCACCAUUGUCUCUGAAAUGCAGUGUGCAAACCAUUUUGUGGCAUCAAGAGUGUGUGGGCAAGAAAGCAGAGACUUAGCUUCUCCAGUUGAAACUCAAGGCAGGAUUUAUGCUUUCAUCCAGGAACCUAAAAACAGUCCUAUUCAUGUAUUCAGUGUUUGCACAGAGCACGGCUUUGACACGAAGACUGAGAUGCUGCUUCUC